GGCAACCCGCUGGGGUCCCUUUCCACACUGUGGGAGUUUUGUUCUUUUGCUCUUUGCAAUAAAUCUUGCUACUGCUCACUCUUUGGGUCCACGCUGCUUUUAUGAGCUGUAACACUCACCGGGAAGAUCUGCAGCUUCACUCCUGAGCCCAGCGAGACCACGAGCCCACCAGGAGGAAUGAACAACUCCAGACGCGCUACCUUAAGAGCUGUAACACUCACCGCGAAGGUCUGCAGCUUCACUCCUGAGCCAGCGAGACUACGAAGGAACCCACCAGAAGGAAGAAACUCCGAACACAUCUGAACAUCAGAAGGGACAGACUCCAGACGCGCAACCUUAAGAGCUGUAACACUCACUGCGAGGGUCCGCGGCUUCAUUCUUGAAGUCAGUGAGACCAAGAACCCACCAAUUCCGGACAGAAGGGCCUAGGGAGCAUGGAGUGCAGGGACGCUGCCGGCUGCCUUUCCCCUUUCUCUCCUUCCCUUCCCCACGCAGUCAGUCUGGGGAAUCCCAUUCUUUUCUUUUCUUUUUUUUUUAAUUUGGAGAUGGAGUCUCAUUCUGUUGCCCAGGCUGGAGUGCAAUGGCCCAAUCUCGGCUCUCACUGCAACCUCUGCCUCUAGGGUUCAAGCGAUUCUCCUGCCUCAGUCUCCCAAGUAGCUGGGAUUACAGGCGCGUGCCACCACACCCAGCUAAUUUUGUGUUUUUAGUAGAGAUGGGGUUUCACCAUGUUAGCCAGGCUGGUCUCGAACUCCUGAUUUCAGGUGAUCCACCCCCCUCGGCCUCCCAAAGUGCUGGGAUUACAGGUGUGAGCCACUGCGCCCGGCCUGGGGAAUCCCAUUCUUAUGAUGUGAUCACCCAGUGUCCCUGUGUCAGACCUCUGGUGCCAAGAGAGACCUUAGAGAUCACCUGAUCCCACGCCUUCAUUUUACAGAUGGAGGAACUGAGGCUCAGGGAGGUGAUUUUUCCAAGGUCACCUGCCUAGGCUUCCUGGAGCCAGCUCUGUGCUCUUCUAAAACCACCACUUACUUUCCAAUGGAGGGAGGUGACGUGUCGAGCACCUCUCACCUCUAUUAGCCAGCCUGGUGUCUCCUGAAAAGCAGCGAGCAUGUGCAUGUGUGCACUGAUAAUAUGUACCCCUGCAAGUCAGAGAGGGCACGUGCACACCUACGCGUCUUUGCAAACUGCUGGACAUCAUCUGCUGAUGCGGAGGUCCUGCUCUGUGACCCACACUCUGAGCUCUAAGGAGAAGGAAACACACCCACACCCACACCCUUGAGAACUCACCACAGGGAAGAGUCCACCGAGGCAGACCCAGAACAGAGUGUAGAGAGCAAUGGGAACUGCCUGGGAAUUGUUCUCAAUUGUGUCCUCACACCCACACACUGACCUCCCGGGGCUCUGCGGCCAGCCUCCCUGUGCCUUCCUCACCCCGGGGAGAGUCUGAACUCCCAGAAUGCGCGUGUGUGCAUCCCCUGCCCCUGCAGAAGACUCUCAACGGAUCCAGCUAAGAGUCACCAGCCCAAACGCAAGCCCAAGUCUUGGCGUGACAGGGGCAUUCAGCACUCACAGUUUAUCUGUGGAGAAGAAUCCCAGACACUGGGUUUCAGAAUCAAGGGCACUAGUGUGGAGGAAGUCUCCAUCAGCCCUCACCUGACUCCUGGCGCUGUGGGUCCCUGAGGGCCCCAGGCAGCUCACCAAUUCUCUGCUUCCCAUGGAUGCUUGUGGUUCCUGGCUGAGCUCAGUGUCUCUCCCCAGGGUAACAGGACUAGGGGAGUCUCCCUUCACAGUUUGAAAGCACCUUAGUUCCUCCUACUGUCUCAAACCUCUCCAUGGGCGCUGGCAGACCUGCUAUGGUUUUCAUCCUACAGAUGAGGCUCCAGAGGCUUGAGGGCGAAUGGUGCUCAAGGAAUCACAGGCCAGAGGUGAGAACUGGAGAAAGGGAAACUCUCCCAGUCCCUGAGAGUGGUCAUUACAGACUGGGAAAUCGCCCUCCAGCUGAUGGACAAACUGUCUCUGCAACUCCAGGCUCUUCUGGAAGCUGCCACCAAUGCCUUUUCCACAUGGGGAGCUGCUUGAGGUUCCUUCCACCCUUAACUCAAAUGAUGACAACUCCAGCUUUUGGUUACUCAGGCCAAACUCUCAGAGUCAUUCUAGACCCUUCUCUUUCAAAAUGUACACCCAAUCUGUCAGCCAGUCCUGUCAGCUCUAUUUUAAAAUAUAUGCAGAAACUAAACGAUAGUGGUAGAAAAUAGAUUCGAGGGGCUUGGAGUGUGGAAUAAGGGGGAUACAAAAGAACAGGAGAAAAUUUGGAAGCUGAUGGGAAUGUGAAGUAUCUUGACUGUGGAGAUGGUUGAGUGGGUGUAUAUGUGUGUCAAAAUACAAUAAAUUGUACACUAUAUGUGUGGUUUAAUAUGUGCUAGUUAUGCCUCAAUAAAACUGUUUUUUUUUUU